GGGUCUUUGGGCCACCUCCCAUCCGUGUCUAUUGUACCCUGUUGCUUCGGCGGGCCCGCCGCUUGUCGGCCGCCGGGGGGGCGCCUCUGCCCCCCGGGCCCGUGCCCGCCGGAGACCCCAACACGAACACUGUCUGAAAGCGUGCAGUCUGAGUUGAUUGAAUGCAAUCAGUUAAAACUUUCAACAAUGGAUCUCUUGGUUCCGGCAUCGAUGAAGAACGCAGCGAAAUGCGAUAACUAAUGUGAAUUGCAGAAUUCAGUGAAUCAUCGAGUCUUUGAACGCACAUUGCGCCCCCUGGUAUUCCGGGGGGCAUGCCUGUCCGAGCGUCAUUGCUGCCCUCAAGCCCGGCUUGUGUGUUGGGUCGCCGUCCCCCUCUCCGGGGGGACGGGCCCGAAAGGCAGCGGCGGCACCGCGUCCGAUCCUCGAGCGUAUGGGGCUUUGUCACAUGCUCUGUAGGAUUGGCCGGCGCCUGCCGACGUUUUCCAACCAUUCUUUCCAGGUUGACCUCGGAUCAGGUAGGGAUACCCGCUGAACUUAAGCAUAUCAAUAAGCGGAGGAGAUCA
rnacentral:rRNA from 1 species